GCAACCUGCUCAGGUCCCCUUCUACACUGUGGAAGCUUUGUUCUUUCGCUCUUUGCAAUAAAUCUUGCUACUGCUCACUCUUUGGGUCCACUCUGCUUUUAUGAGCUGUAACACUCACCGCGAAGGUCUGCAGCUUCACUCCUGAAGCCAGUGAGACCACGAGCCCACCUGGAGGAAGGAACAACUCCAGAGGCCCUGCCUUAAGAGCUGUAACACUCACCGCGAAGGUCUGCAGCUUCACUCCUGAAGCCAGCGAGACCACGAGCCCACCUGGAGGAACAAACAACUCCAGAGGCGCCGCCUUAAGAGCUGUAACACUCACCGCGAAGGUCUGCAGCUUCACUCCUGAGCCAGCGAGACCACGAACCCACCAGAAGGAAGAAACUCCGAAAACAUCUUAACAUCAGAAGGAACAAAUUCCAGACGCGCCAUCUUAAGAGCUGUAACACUCACCGCGAGGGGCGUGGCUUCAUGCUUGAAGUCAGUGAGACCAAGAACCCACCAAUUCUGGACACAUUAUGACCUUUGUUUCCUGCCAUGGAAGAAAAUUUAAAUUCCCAGGCUGAAGAAGCAAAUUAGGCCUCUCAAGCAGAAACCAACAGUGUAUCACAAACUCAUGAAAAAUUUCAUAGAUGUCUCAGAAGAAGCAGUGAAAAAUAUUGGUUCUGAGAAGCAAUCAUCAGCCAAUAGUUUUGGCUGAUUUCUGGUAUCACUCAUGAGAGACCUGACAGCUCAUCCUUCCAUAACAAACUACGUUGAGUUCAUCACCUGACAGUUGCCUCACUGUUAUGUUUGAUUUCCAAACUCAAAUUACUUCUGGACUUCUGGUUUGUUGACCUUCUGCACUUAUUCGCAAUAAGCAACUUCUCGUCAGUACACUUCUACAACUCAAGCCCAUAUCAUUGCUAGUCGUAGCUACCAACCUAAACUGAAAAGUCAGAACAAAAAACACAGAAAAGCAGAAUGAACAAACUGUCACUUGAGGGAUGACUGCCCAGCUGUCCAUCAAAUGACACUCUAGGAUAAAGCCAGUGUGUAUGUCUGAGAUCACAAGGAGGGAAGUUGUGAAAUGGACAUCGUUUUUAUUUCCAGGUGCACAGCGAUAUCAGGUAUCUCAGAUAACAGAAUUUCCAACUUCAGAUAUCUCUUACCUAUUGAAUUCUUUUUUUCACAUUUUUAUCAAGCUUUAUUUACACACUGUUGACAAUAUAGUUGUAAUUUGGUUGUUAGACAUAUUGUUUUUUAAAAGUGAGGUGUGUACUGUAAUC
rnacentral:lncRNA from 10 species